rnacentral:miRNA from 1 species
CCUGUCCUCGGUUACUUGUCUC